UGAGAAAGAAUAUCCAUUGGUGGGGAUUUCAGAUGAUAAAGUGUAGGAAAGUAAGUGGGAGGUCAACAUAGAGAAAAGAGGACAAACAAAUGAACAAAAAACCAUGGCUCAUGUACACCACACCACCCUUAGUACCUCCACUGAAGUCUGUGGACUACGUUUGGGUGAAGCAGCCGUGAGCAGGAGGAACAGCCUGUCUUGCAUGCCUGUAUUUGCUCUGUGAUGUGUGCAACAUGCUUUUGGUGCUGCAUGUGAAGGCAGAUAGAUAAUCUUAAUAAAUAAGUGUACCAUGGGGCCAACACACCACAGCCAUCUAGGAGACUCCCCCUAAUUCUCAAUGUUUUUGGAAAGUUGAAAGUUAAUUAACUCCAUUCGUAUCAGAAAUUAAAAAAAUAACAAUAAAUCAAUCUCCAUAGCAGCUACCAGAAGUAUUUUUAAUUAUGGUAUGCUCCUAAAUCAAAACCGUGUGUAUUUUUUGCUGUUUUUUGAAGUCAGCUGUUCUGCAGCAGCCACCAUUUUAAUUAAUUUACUGAAGUUUUAAAACUUAGCACUGGAGCAUAUUGUUGUGGUUGAGCUUGUUAAUCACAAAUGGGUAAUUGACUUGUUCCAAUGUGUGCAUUUGUUCUUUUCUUCUUUCUUCACAGACUAUAACUGGUUGUUAGUGCUCUCAUGCCAUGAAGGAUCUUUAUGGAUCUCCAGGGCUGGUUGUGUGUCCAUGUGUGAAUACACACUCAAGUGCUUGAAAUCAGUUUUGGGAUUUCCUCAAAAUUAUUUCAUAGACAUGGUCUGCUUCACAGUGAAAUCAAAUGUUAU